ensembl:lncRNA
GUUUACUAAAAUUCAAAUAAGCUCUUGUCAUCUCUGUUACAGAAAUUGUCAGCAAGAAAGAUACCUUAAGAUGAUGUGAGAUUCCUGGAAACAACCCUCCCAAUCACUCUUGAUCAUGGACACUGCCGCCAAACCACAAGGUGUCAAAACUUGAGUGCAUAUUUCACAACUGAAGAAGGUUCCACCUGACAUCUGACUUUGUGCAAAUGCUGGAGACCUCAAAAUCAAAUAAACUAGGAAGACAAGUAGCUGACAUCGAAGUAGAGUCUUCCUCCCAAGACGUUGGAUCAAGAAUAUUUCUUUCCAUUCCUCCUUCCCUCUCUGACCAUCCAUUUCCUAAUUCUUACACCAUUAAGGUUUUUAUGGUUCUUUUGUUCACCUUUUAUCUUGCUCUUGCCUAGACAGAUAAUUUCAUUGUUCAUAUAUCUCAGGCCAUUGCAAGGGGGAGUAAUCUAACCUCCAAACAACUGUUGGAUUUGCCAUGAUGCUCAUAUGAUGCUCAUGAUCCUAUAGUUCUGCUUUCCACAAACUUCUCCCUGAUUUCCAAUGCCUCAGUUUCUCUGGAACAAACUCAGCCCUCUCUCUAUUGUGUCAGGCUCCCUAACCCUGGAAGUCCAUUUCCUUGUCUCUGAUUAACAACCCCAAACCUGGAGAACCUUGCAUCCAGAUUCUAUACAAAGAAAGGGACACAAGGCAAGGAUAACCAGAAUCAAACCACCUGUGCAGUCUACAGACCCUUGAAUUUUAGUGGCUUCCAUGGCUGUCACCUUUGCAGUCCUGCACCAUAGACUCAAACAGGAAUUACCUGGAAGCAUUCAUACUUCAAUAUUAGCUUCCUUUGGCAGACCCCUACUAUUCCCACUAGGAGUAAGUGCAAAUGAGGCUAUGAUCAGGAACUUCUCCUUACCUCUUUAAAAUAUUGUAGAAUCUACUGCUAAAGCAAUAGCUGCCCAAGAAAAUCACUAGACUCUCUGGCCAAAGUUGUUCUUGAUAGUAGGACAGCCCUUGAUUAUCUUUUAGCUGAGAAAGGUGCUCUAUGGCCAACACCACUUGCUGCACUUGGAUUGACAUUUCUGGGGAAGUUGAGACUCAGCUACACAAGAUCACUGAGCAAGCCUGUUGGCUUAAGAAAGUGACUCCUUCACUGGGGUCUUUCUUUGACUUAUUUGAUUCUGAUCGGUUUGGGUCUUGGGGACCAUGGCUCCGAAGUGCACUCCAGACAUUUGGGAAUUAUGCUGCUUAUAAUAAUCAUGGUAGUCUCCCUGGUGCGCUGUGUUCUUUCAAAAGCUAUAAAUGCAUGUUCGCAGCCACUAACCACCAAGCAAAUGAUCUCCCUAAGAUUAGAGCAUCAGAAAAGGAACAAAGAAAAUGAAGGACUUAAAGAAUAUGAACCCAAUGCUGUGACCUGUGAAUACCACACAGAGAUUCAGCAAAAAACUGCAAGAACUCCAGAGUGGUAGCUGGGAAUAGUGCUCAUGCCUUAAAUUUUGAUCAUAUCUCUCAGUUAGGCUGAGAGUCUGAUCCAAAGAGAGGAAUGGUUUAAAACAAGACAACAGGCCCAAAAUGGAGUCACUUACACUAAGCCCUGUGUCACCAAACCAAGACUUAAUUAUAGUUUCAGCUCUUCCAGAAAUGGAAUUGUAAACGAGCCAGUCAGGAAAUGCCUGAUCAGCACUAGUUAGGUUGUCUGCCUGAGAGAUCCCAGCCACCCCUAAGGGAAAGUAGCAUGCAAUAACCAACCCGCUUUUUUCGCCU